AAAAAUUUGGCGGUAUUUUAGUCUAUUCAGAGGAACCUGUUCUGUAAUCGAUAAUCCACGAUGGACCUUACUUAAAUUUGUUUAGUUUAUAUACCGUCGUUAUUAGAAAUAUUUUAUAAGAAUGUUAAUUUUCAAAAUUUUUAAAAAGAAAAUAUAUCAGAUCAAGGUGUAGCUUAUAUUUAAGUAGAAAUGGGUUACAAUAAAUUUAUUUAAACGAAUAUAAAUUUGAAAUGUUUAUUGAAGGUGGAUUUGAUAGUAAAAUUAUAAAGAUUAAUAAUUUGAUUUUAGCUCUAAAAU
rnacentral:rRNA from 1 species